AACGCGAAGAACCUUACCUGGGUUUGACAUGCACAGGACGCCAGUAGAGAUAUUGGUUCCCUUGUGGCCUGUGUGCAGGUGGUGCAUGGCUGUCGUCAGCUCGUGUCGUGAGAUGUUGGGUUAAGUCCCGCAACGAGCGCAACCCUUGUCUCAUGUUGCCAGCACGUUAUGGUGGGGACUCGUGAGAGACUGCCGGGGUCAACUCGGAGGAAGGUGGGGAUGACGUCAAGUCAUCAUGCCCCUUAUGUCCAGGGCUUCACACAUGCUACAAUGGCCGGUACAAAGGGCUGCGAUGCCGUGAGGUGGAGCGAAUCCUUUCAAAGCCGGUCUCAGUUCGGAUCGGGGUCUGCAACUCGACCCCGUGAAGUCGGAGUCGCUAGUAAUCGCAGAUCAGCAACGCUGCGGUGAAUACGUUCCCGGGUCUUGUACACACCG
rnacentral:rRNA from 1 species